rnacentral:misc_RNA from 1 species
AUUUGUAGCUGUGAUCUUCACUUGCGUUUCUUACUUGAUUCCUCUCUUCGCGGUGAUUGGAGCUGUUUCUGUGAAUCAAAAUGAAUGGGAGUCAGGGUUCCAUGCCACUGCAGCAGAAAUUAUUGCAGGGAAAUGGCUAAAAUAUUGGAUUGAAGUUGGUGCUGUACUAUCUGCCGUAGGUUUGUUUGAGGCUCAAUUGAGCAGCUGUGUUUACCAGCUUCUUGGUAUGGCUGAUUUAGGAUUUCUGCCCACC